GUCAACAGAUUAGUCUGAAAUUAGGCGCAUUACAGGUGAGCUGGAUGACAGCAUGACUGAACUAGAGGAGAGUAGGAGGAAACUAGUGAAUCUGAAAAUGCAAAAGGAUGUCGCAUCUGGGAUG